GGUCAUAAAUCAACCCUGGGCUCUGCACUUUCACUUUACCCGAAGCAAGUAAACCCUCGAUCUCAAGGUUUUCGAUUCCCAUGGCGAAAUUCUCGAAUCGCGACGAUGCUCUCUCUUCCGAAGAGGAGGAGGAAGAGAAUGUUAAUACCAACAUAGGAGAAGAAGACGAGGAGGAGCUCGAGGCCGUCACUCGAUCUUCCGAUUCCGACGAAGAAGCUGCGCCAGUCUCUGACGAAGAGAUUGCUCCUAUCGAGGAUGAUUACGAGGAUGAAGAGGACGAUGAGAAGGUUGAGAUAAGUAAACGUGAGAAGGCUAGGCUUAGGGAUAUGCAGAAGCUGAAGAAGCAGAAGAUUCAGGAGAUGCUUGAUUCUCAGAAUGCUUCCAUAGAUGCUGAUAUGAAUAAUAAGGGGAAAGGGAGAUUGAAGUAUCUUCUGCAGCAGACUGAGUUGUUUUCACAUUUUGCUAAAGGUGAUCCAUCUUCUUCUCAGAAGAAGGCGAAAGGAAGGGGUCGUCAUGCUUCCAAAGUAACUGAAGAGGAGGAAGAUGAGGAAUAUUUGAAGGAAGAAGAGGAUGGCUUAGCUGCAUCUGGUAACACGAGGUUGCUCACACAGCCUUCUUGUAUUCAAGGGAAGUUAAGAGAUUACCAGUUAGCUGGUUUGAACUGGCUCAUCCGUCUGUAUGAGAAUGGCAUAAAUGGAAUUCUUGCUGAUGAGAUGGGUCUGGGGAAGACACUUCAAACAAUUUCUUUGCUGGCCUACCUUCAUGAAUACAGAGGAAUCAAUGGUCCACAUAUGGUAGUUGCUCCAAAGUCAACCCUUGGUAAUUGGAUGAACGAAAUUCGCCGGUUUUGUCCUGUGUUGCGAGCUGUGAAAUUCCUUGGUAAUCCUGAGGAAAGGAGACAUAUUCGUGAUGACCUGCUAGUUGCUGGGAAAUUUGAUAUUUGCGUCACAAGCUUUGAGAUGGCCAUCAAAGAGAAGACAGCACUGCGUCGCUUUAGCUGGCGUUAUAUUAUCAUCGAUGAAGCGCAUCGAAUCAAGAACGAAAAUUCACUCCUCUCGAAGACUAUGAGAAUUUUUAGCACCAAUUAUCGUCUUCUUAUCACGGGAACCCCCCUUCAGAAUAAUCUCCAUGAACUGUGGGCCCUUCUCAAUUUUCUUCUGCCUGAGAUCUUUAGUUCAGCAGAGACUUUUGAUGAAUGGUUUCAAAUAUCUGGCGAGAAUGACCAGCAGGAAGUUGUUCAACAACUUCACAAGGUCCUUCGACCAUUUCUUCUACGGAGACUAAAGUCAGAUGUUGAGAAAGGUUUGCCACCAAAGAAGGAGACGAUACUUAAAGUUGGCAUGUCUCAGAUGCAAAAACAAUACUACAAGGCUUUACUGCAGAAAGAUCUUGAAGCAGUUAAUGCUGGUGGAGAACGCAAACGUCUGCUAAACAUUGCAAUGCAACUGCGUAAAUGCUGUAAUCACCCUUAUCUCUUCCAGGGUGCAGAGCCUGGUCCCCCAUAUACCACAGGAGAUCACCUCAUAACAAAUGCUGGUAAGAUGGUUCUCUUGGAUAAAUUGCUUCCUAAGUUGAAGGAACGUGAUUCGAGGGUUCUAAUAUUUUCUCAGAUGACAAGGCUUUUGGAUAUUCUUGAGGAUUAUUUAAUGUAUCGUGGUUAUCUAUAUUGCCGAAUUGAUGGAAAUACUGGUGGUGAUGAACGAGACGCCUCCAUAGAAGCCUACAACAAGCCAGGAAGCGAGAAAUUUGUUUUCUUGUUAUCUACUAGAGCAGGAGGGCUUGGUAUCAAUCUUGCUACUGCAGAUGUUGUGAUUCUUUACGAUAGUGACUGGAACCCGCAAGUCGACUUGCAAGCGCAGGAUCGUGCCCAUAGGAUUGGUCAAAAGAAAGAAGUUCAAGUGUUUCGAUUCUGCACUGAGUCUGCUAUUGAGGAGAAAGUAAUUGAGAGAGCUUACAAGAAGUUGGCGCUUGAUGCUCUGGUUAUUCAACAAGGAAGACUGGCAGAGCAGAAAACUGUCAAUAAGGAUGAGUUGCUUCAAAUGGUAAGAUAUGGUGCUGAGAUGGUGUUCAGCUCUAAAGAUAGCACAAUCACAGACGAGGAUAUCGAUAGAAUCAUUGCGAAAGGAGAGGAGGCUACAGCUGAACUUGAUGCCAAGAUGAAGAAAUUUACAGAAGAUGCUAUACAGUUUAAAAUGGAUGACAGUGCUGACUUCUAUGAUUUUGAUGAUGACAAUAAGGACGAGAACAAGCUUGAUUUUAAAAAGAUUGUGAGCGACAACUGGAAUGAUCCACCAAAGCGGGAGAGAAAGCGCAACUACUCUGAAUCUGAAUACUUUAAGCAAACAUUGCGGCAAGGUGCUCCAGCUAAACCUAAAGAGCCGAGAAUUCCGCGCAUGCCCCAGUUGCACGAUUUUCAGUUCUUUAACACUCAGAGAUUGACCGAGUUGUAUGAAAAGGAAGUACGCUAUCUCAUGCAAACACAUCAGAAAAAUCAGCUGAAAGACACAGUUGAUGUAGAAGAACCAGAAGGUGGAGAUCCCUUAACCGCUGAAGAAGUAGAAGAAAAGGAGAGUUUAUUGGAGGAGGGUUUCUCAACAUGGAGCAGAAGAGACUUCAAUAGUUUCCUCAGGGCUUGUGAGAAGUAUGGCCGCAACGACAUCAAAAGCAUUGCCUCCGAGAUGGAAGGUAAAACAGAGGAAGAAGUUGAAAGAUACGCCCAAGUAUUCAAGGAGCGGUACAAGGAGCUGAACGACUACGACAGGAUCCUUAAGAACAUUGAGAGGGGAGAGGCAAGAAUCUCCAGGAAAGAUGAAAUCAUGAAAGCCAUAGGGAAGAAACUGGACCGCUACAGAAACCCUUGGCUGGAACUCAAGAUUCAAUACGGUCAGAACAAAGGGAAGCUGUACAAUGAAGAGUGCGAUCGUUUCAUGAUCUGCAUGGUCAACAAACUUGGGUAUGGGAACUGGGACGAGCUAAAGGCAGCAUUCAGAACUUCACCUCUGUUCAGGUUUGACUGGUUUGUGAAAUCUCGCACGAGUCAGGAGCUCGCUAGAAGAUGCGACACUCUGAUUCGACUGAUUGAAAAGGAGAACCAAGAAUUUGAUGAGAGAGAGAGGCAAGCCCGUAAAGAGAAGAAGCUCGCAAAGAGUGCAACACCAUCAAAGCGACCUUUAGGAAGGCAACAAAGUGAGAGUCCUUCAUCGUUGAAGAAGCGGAAGCAUCUGAGAUGAUUAUCUGAGCUUAGUUAAGCUUUUUGUUGUUGUAUAAAAAUCUAAGUUUAUCUUAUACAUUGUAAGUGAAUUUAAAUCAUUUCAUCAAAAUCCAAGUUAAACCAAGACAACAUUCACCAAACCAGAUUUAAAUUCACUUACAAUGUAUAAGAUAAACUUACAAGGACAUUAUAUGCUUCAGGAAUCGAAUGUCACGUGAAUAAGGCCAUUUAUUAGCAGUAACCGUUGUUUACAAGGACAGAAAAAAAAACAAGAGAUAUGGCCGUAUGAGAGAGAGGAAUCUAUUAAUAUAUGGACAAAUGGUAAAUGACAGAAGCUUUGGUUUGGUGUCUCUGCUUCCAUCAAAUCUCAGACCCCAAAAAAUAAUCUUCUUUUCUCUUUUCUUAAUGUUGUUUUAGUUCAUGAA